UAUUCAGCGUCGCCAGUGGGAAUAUCCUCUCGCGCGCGGGAAUAUUUUGCCGGGAACGGCGAAUCUACCGUGGAUGCCCCUCGCUCCCUCCCUUCUCGCGCGUCUUGCACCGCACGGCCACAAUUCCUCUCCUCUCACCUCCUCUCUCUUCUCGUCACCUCAUCGUCCUCGCUUCGUGCUCGUGUGCGUACAGCUUCCUCUGCCGAGCCUCCUCUCAUGCGGCCAUCUUCUGGUCGAAGCCGUCGGCCGACGACGACGCGUCCGUCGCCGGGGAGAGCAAGCGAUAAUGAAGCAACCAUCCACCACUGCACGAUUACCAGGAAAUUGGAAUAAGCGUUCAGCGACACCACGCAGAUGUAUGAAGCAACGAAGAAUCGAUUUUGAAAUCUCAGUAUGAUACAGGUCCGGGUGUCAGGCCGGCAGCACCAGCGCAGCACGUGGCCGUGAAACAGAUACAGGCUACACAUUCUCUUGCAGGUACAUACAUCAACCGCGCCCUGCGACACUUCUGCCCAGGCGCGUGCUAUGGUUUCUUCGAUGUUCUUGUGUCCUAUUAUUCUGCUAAGAGCAGGCGUUCUCUCAGAAAAGUUCCACAUUUGUUGGAGAUGCUACGCUAAAAUCAUCAUCUCCGAAGUAUUGGGGUGAAGUGAAAUAUCAUCUCGACUCCCACAAGGUAUUGUAUUGAGAAUAAUUUGCAUGUCCUUGUUUUCUGCAAAAUCGUAGAAAGUUCAGUGAGCGCAAGGCCACGACACAGAGGAUCUGUCUCACAGAUAUUGUGCAAGAGAUCAUGGUGGGUCCUGUUACCUUAUGACUCAAUUGCUGCCACCCUUACUGGCUUCAUUACCUUUACAAUGUUCCUCAUGUGCUCAAACCCCAUGACUAUCACCCCUAUGAGAUAAAGAAAGCUUAGUUGCAGCUUGCCAAGCAA